AUCUACGGCCAUGCCAUCCUGAACAAGCCCGAUCCCAUCUGAUCUCAGAAGCUAAGUAGGGUCGGGCCUGUUUAAUACUUGGAUGGGAGAUCACCUAGGAAGACCAGGUGCUGUAGGCG
rnacentral:rRNA from 1 species